CUGCUACUUUCCUCUGGCUUCCUCUUUCAUGCCGAAAUGUUUUUAAUUUCCUCAAAGAUAAUAACUCAAGGUGUCAGUGGGAUGUUUUGGCUGGUGAAAAUACUGUCACUGAAUUAGCAAGAAUAGAAACAGGAUGUGUUCCAGGAAACAAUAUUACAAUCAUUCAGCCUUAUGUUCCAGAAGAGAAAACCAUGUUGAUUCUUCAAGAGUCC